rnacentral:ncRNA from 1 species
CAAACGUCAAUGACAAAGAGAGUAGCUUGCUGUGGAUGUGAAGCGAGCCGGGGAUGGUGGGAGCCCGGUUGUGAAGCAGGGAGUGAAGCGCACUUUGGAGAUGCAGGUCUGAAACGAAGUAGGAGCUGCCGGGGAGAACCCCGUUAUCAAUUUGAGUGGUUGUGAAAACAAUGAGAGUGGUACCGCGGACGAUUCGAACGCCCGUCUCUUUU